rnacentral:lncRNA from 1 species
AGUACCGAUCCAUCUUCUUCGCACUCAGGCUCAGUUUUAGGUCUCAAAAGAGCCGCGCGCAACGCGCACUUCCGGUUUCCUGCCGCUUAGCAAUGGGCCACUUUUGCUCGAAUGUGGUAUCUCUUGGAUGGCAAAAUGCAGCCCCCUGGCAAACUUGCGGCCAUAGCAUCCAAUAAACUUCAGGGGUUACAUAAACCAGUGUACCAUCAGCUGAGUGAUUGUGGAGACCAUGUUGUCAUAAUAAACACAAGACAUAUUGCAUUUUCUGGAAACAAAUGGGAACAAAAAGUGUACUCCUCACAUACUGGCUACCCGGGUGGCUUCAGACAGGUAACAGCUGCACAGCUCCACCUGAAAGACCCAGUGGCGAUUGUGAAGUUAGCUACUUAUGGCAUGCUGCCCAAAAACCUGCACAGGAGAACACUCAAGAAGGCCAGGCCUCAGUGGGAAAGUGCAGUAGAACAUUCUAUUUUACAGAAGUGUCUUGUGUAGCCUGGUACUGGUUUAAAUGCUAUAAAUGUUAAUAAAAUGCUUAUUUGGUUAUGU